GGCAGAAUAAGAAUGUGCAUAUGAACAAGAAUGAUAGAGCAAGGAGUGGAAGACAGAAGAGUAGUUUCAUCUUGUUGUGCCCCUCACAGGGGUUACUUGUGCCUCUCACCUCAAGCCCUGGCAGCAGUUCCUCUUCAAGACUCCACCAUCCACUUCACGAUUUUGGUGUAAAUUGCUGUUUCCCUGAAGAAUAUGCUGCAGAAGGACAAUGAAGAAAGGUCCACUGAUACAGCUCGAUAGCAAUUUUCCUUGCUGGAACCUUUACUUUUUGUGCUAAAAAUUCAAGCAUUUAACAUUUUUGUGGUAUAUGCGUACCUUUGUGUACAUGAAAACACAUAAUAUACCUAAAUAGUUUUGAUUGGGUGAAAUGAAAAUUAAUAAUACAAGCACAUUGUUUGAGUGUGCAAAUACAAUAUGCAAAACUUCUAAUGUCUACAUCAGAAAGUAAAGCAUGGGGGCUAGAGAGAUGCCUCGGGGGAUGAAGGGUUUGCUAUGCAAGCAUGAAGAGUGCCCCUCAUCUGUGAUGAGGUGUUGUAGAGCGCAGUACUGGGCAGGUCUUCUGUGAAUAGUCACAGCUGCUGUCAGUUCAUAGCAUGAUAGCUAUGUCAUGUACAAAAGCUUUAUUUUUUUUUUGCUGUGUAUCUCCUAUUUUCUGGAUCUUGUAUUCUUUCUGCCCUGUCCUUCAUGAAGUUUUUUGAGCUUUUAGGGGGUGAUGCAGCUGUCAUGCUUUGGAUCAAGGACUCAAUUGUCAUUUAUUCUCAGCACUUGGGGCUGGUGGUGUGUUUAUUAACUCACUGCCUUUUGUAGGAAGAACCUUGCUUGAUGAAGGCUGAGCAUAGCAUCAGUGUAUAGGUAUGAACUUAAAUACCUAGAAAGAAUUUUGAAAGCAUUACCAUUUAGUACAACAAUAGUAGUAAGUACUCCCGAGGACCAAUGAACUACUCAGCCAUGGCCUCUUCACAGAACCAGAUAGAAUUCUCUCCUAAAAUGCUAACCUCAAAUCCAAGGAGAACAUUGAUUGGCUAUCCCCAUAAUUGUCAUACUCUAUUGCACUUACAUGGCACAACCUUUCUGCAGAUGAUUGUUAUGGCUCACAGGAUUCACAGUUGGGUACAGUUAUCUGCUGAGCAUUCUGUGUGUCAUCUUUGGCAUAAGAAAUUAGACAGUAGGACAGAACCCUCUAGCUCAUACCCAGCUUGAUUCCUUUGGGUCCUGUCACCACAGUAUACAGUGUCUUCAAUGGGGUCUGAGCACCAAAUUCUGGCAGAUAACAAGAGGGAUGGCAAUAGCCUCUAGGAACUCCAUGACAACAACUCAUAGGGAGGCAUUCCACAAAUCAUUGUGAUUUAUGUUUAAUAUGUGUCCUGAGGGAACAUUAUCCAUCAAAGUCUUUUUAUACCAUUUAAAUAAGCUUAUUGACCAGCAGAUUCCACAUGGCAUUAUGAUAUGUACUGAGUUUGAUUUACCCCUUUUCCUCCCUAGAUGUUUAUAUUCUCACUAGUCCUUCCAUCCAUUUACAUGUGUGAAUCAUGUGACUGUACAAUUCCCUCCCUCUAAUUUUCCUUUUCUAUCUCCCUGGACUUUACCAUUACUCAAUCUGAUAUGUUCUCAAGCUCAUAUUUACUAAAGAGAAUGGCAUCUUUUGAGCAUAUUCCUUAGUAUAUAGCUCAUCUGUGUUGCAUAUAGUCCUACUUUUAGCUAUUUGAGGAAAGUUCCAUAGUGGCUGUACCACUUUAUAUCCCCUUAAAGGAAUUAAUAAGAAUUAUCUAUUCUCUGCGCCCUGCCAGUAUUUAUAGUUAUUUGUUUUAUUAUGGUUGAAAUUAGAUAAAGUCCCAGGGAGUUUUCAUUUUCAUUUCAAUGAUGGCCAAGUAUAUUGAACACAUUUUAAAUUAUUUGUCAUCUAUUUGCUUUUAAUCUUUUGAGAACUCACUGUGCAUUUCUUAGUACAAUUGUUCAUGCCAUUGUUAUGGUUCCUGUGAAGAUGAUAAAACAUCAUCAUGAAAAAAAUCCUUUGUGAGGAAAGGAUUUAUGUCACCUUACAAUUCUAGAUCAUACUCAAGUACUGAAGGAAGUCAGGGCGGGAACUCAAGGAAGGAGCCUGGAAAAUAACUGAAGUAGAAGUCAUGAAGGAGGGCUGCUUACUGGCUUGCUCAACUUACUUUCUUUUAUCAAGCAAGAUGAUUUUCAAGGGAGACACCACUCCCAGUAUGCUGGGCUCACCCACAUAAACCAUUAAUCAAAAAAAAAAAAAAAUGCACCACAGACUUGCCUACAAGCAAACAAGCGAAUGCAUUAUUUCAACUGAGUUUCCUUUUCCCAGAUAAUUGUAGUUUUGGUUGUCAGUGGAAGAACCAAGGUCAUUCACUUUCUUGAUACUUAUGGUUUGUUUUGGUUUUGUUCAUAUUCUUGAUGUUUAGUUUUUAAAACUCUUUCUGUAUUCUGGAUAUUAAGCCUCUGACAGAUGUCAGGCAAAGAUUUUCUCUCAUUCUUCAUGCUGCCUCGUCACUUAAUUAGUCAUGGGUGCGGCUCUUGUCUACUUGAUCCUCUCAUCCUCAGUACCCAAGUAGCUUGGAUCUGUGCAGGCCCUGUGUAUAGAGCCACAGCUUCUGUGAGUUCAUAAGUGCAUCAUUCCUAUUGUAUCUCUUUCUUGGUGACACAGUUUCCUUGGUACCACCCAUCUUUUCUGCCUCUUACAAUAUUUCUGUCUCGUCUUCUGAACAGAGCACUAGGGAAAAUUUUUGGUGAAGACAAACUAUUUAGAAUUUGGAGUUUCAAGGUCUCUCACUCUGUGCAUUGCCCAUCUGUGGGUCUCUGUAUUAGUUCUCAUAUACUUCAGGGGGAAGCUUCUCUGAUGAUGGCUGAGCAAGACAAUGAUCAUAUUUGUGUUUUGGGGUCUGGGAUACCUCACUCAGGAUAAUUUCUUUCAGAUCCACUCAUUUACUCAUGAAUUUCCUGAUUUUGUAUUUUUAACAGCUUAGUAAUUAUUCAUUCUAUUGUGUAAAUGUACCACACUUUCCAUAUUCACUCAUCAGCUGAGGCACACCUGGGCUGCUUCCAAUUUCCGGCUAUGACAAAUAGAGCAGCAAUGAACAUGGACGGACAAAUCUUUCUGUAGUAAGAUGUAAAGUCCUUUGCAUAUAUAUGCCUAAGAAUGAUAGCGAGUUUAUCUCUGUCUCACCCAGUGCCACUGGGCUGGUUUCUCUCCUGCCUGUUGGGUCCUCACAUCUGUUUAUGAAAUAUCACUCUGAGGCUUAAUAUCAACUACAAUUGCUUGACCAUUGACUCAGACAUAUUACUGACUAGCUCUCUCUUAUAAAUUAACCCAUUUUUAUUAAUCUAUGUAUUGCCUCGAGGCUGUGGCUUAUCAGUAAUGAUCAGGCAUAUUACUCCUUCAGAGACUACAUGGCUUCUCCCUAACUCCACCUUCCUUCUCUCUGCAUCUUUGUUUGGAUUUCUCUCUUAGCUAUAUUCUGUCCGGCCAUUGGCAAAAACAGCUUUAUUCAUCUACCAAUAAAAGCAACAAAUAUUCACAGCAUACAGAAGGGCAUCCCACAUCAGAGAUAGAGGUACAUUGAGGUAUAUUGAUUUCUAUUGUCUUGAAGAACUAUUAUACUAAUUUCCACAGUGGCAGUACUCAGUGCAAUCCCCAGCAAUGAAUAAUCCCGCUUUCCCUGCAUCCUUGCCAGAACACACUAUCAUUUAUUUUAUUGAUCUUGGCCCCUCUGCCUUGUGUAAGAAGAAAUCUCUAUGUACUUUUGAUUUGCAGUUCACUUAUGAAUAAGGAAGUUGAAUAUUUUAAAGGGUGUUUCUCAGACAUUUGAGAGUUCAUUUUUUGAGAACUUUCUUUUUAUAACUAUAUACCACUUUCUAAUUGGGCAUUUGUUUUCUUUAUGUCUAAUAUUUAGUUAGUGAUGUCUAGUCUUUAGUUUUAAAGUUAGUUCUAUAUUUUAGAUCUUAGACCUUUAUUGGGUAUGUAAAGAUCUCUUCUCAUUCUGUAUCUUGUUGCUUUUUCUGAAUAAUGAUGCCCUUUGCCAUAUGAAAUCAUUUCAUUUUCAUGAGUUUCCAUUCAUUAUUUGUUGUUCUUUGCAUCAGUGUUUUCAGUGUUCUGUUCAGAAGUCUUUCCCUUUGUGAAUGAGUUCAAGACUAGUCCUCAUUUUCUCUUCUGACAGGUUCAAUGUAUCUGGCCUAAUGUUGAUAACUUUGACCCAUUUGGAGUUGAGUUUCAUGUAGGUGAAAAAUAAAGAUCCAUUCUUAUAUGCAUCCAA